CUUUUGGAGAGUUUGAUCCUGGCUCAGGACGAACGCUGGCGGCGUGCCUAAUACAUGCAAGUCGAGCGGACCGAAUCGGAGCUUGCUCUGGUUGGGUCAGCGGCGGACGGGUGAGUAACACGUGGGCAACCUGCCCGCAAGACCGGGAUAACUCCGGGAAACCGGAGCUAAUACCGGAUAACACCGAAGACCGCAUGGUCUUUGGUUGAAAGGCGGCCUUU
rnacentral:rRNA from 1 species